UGAAGGGGGGAAUAAUUCGCUCCGCACAGGUUUACGGCUAUUUUCCAGAAAUUAACUCCUCACUCAUGGCUCGUGUUUCUCCCAAAUCACCUCCAAAGCAACGGUGUUUAUGAGCCUACCUAAUCCGAUACUGCAAUGGAAUUCCGGAUAUUUGCAGACAGAUCUCCCGGCUUUGCAUGUGUUUGAUGAGAUACGUUCGGAAUCUCCUUUUUUCUAGAGCCGGGUUCCUGGCUGUACAGCAAGCCGACCUGAGGCUGCGGCCCCUGCCCCACACCCGGGCAGCGCGACCGGCCCAAGGCCAGCGCAGGACGCAGCCCCUCCGGGGCCGGGGCUGGCGAGGCAGCUCGGGCUACGGGCCGCUCUGCAACAGGUCACCCUGACCGCGAGUCCGCGGGUUCGCGGGCGGCCAACUCUGCGGCCAGGAUUCUGGGCGCAGCCGCCGGGGCCAGGGGAGGGGGUGUGGCCCGGCUUCUGCUGGUCGUGGCUCCGAGGUCCGGGAUCGGGCUCACCUGAAGGUAGGCUGACGCGCCGCUGGGCGUCAGAACAGCGCGGGCGGAGGCUGGGGGCUUCCGCCACCCAAGAGGGAGAGCGAGGCGGGUUCAAGGGGUCUCCGCGCCCCCGGCUUCAGGACGGCGCCCCCAAGCGGGGACCCCACGACCGCUCCGACUCCGAGAACCCGCGGCCGAGGGAGGCGCGCCCCCCAGCGCCCCUCUACCUCAGCCCCAGCUCCGCAACCCCCUCCCUGCGCGCAGGGAGAGCAGCCCCGGGGCCCGCGGCCGGCAGAACCACACUCCGCAGCGCCGCCGCCGCCGCCAUUCCCCGCGCCGCCCGGGGGGCGCCGCGCACCCACCCUCCCUCCCUCCCCCGCAUCGCCCCGCGGCCUGAGCCCACCGACCUGUGCAGCCGCGACCGUCGCCUCAGAGGAUGGAAAGACGACGCCGGCCUCACGCUUCGCCGCCACGGCCGCCGCCUAGAGUAACGCUCGCCGACCCGAACAGUCACCGUCUCUCAUUCAGCGCCCGCAGCAGCCGCCGCCACCGCUGCCGCCGCUCGGGGGAGGAGACUUUUCGGCCCAGCGGAGCCCAACUGCCGCCGGGGAUCGGUGUUCGCAGCGCGCGCAGCCAACUGCAACCCCCAUCGCCCGGCGCCUGCUGAAAGGAGCGGCUCCCACCGGC